GUCCCACGUAGGGGCUCCCUGCAUGGAGCCUGCUCUGCCUCUCUCUGUGUGUCUGUAAUGAAUAAAAAAAAAAAAAAAAAAAAAGUCCAAUCUCACACCGGAAAUGCUGAAGAACAAAAGACAAGAAACUGGUAAGUGGGAUCUGAUACUCAAUAAAUAAAAGACGCUUAGCUCAAGUUAUAAUGUCCUCAGUCUCUGCAGCUGUAAAAUGAAGAGAGUAAUAGUACCUACCUCCUCAUAUGCAGCAUAAAAGCAAGAUAAUAUGCCCACUUGCUCGGUGACAGCAUAUGUGCUGAUCAUAGAACAGUGCCCAGCACGUAAGAAUUCAGUCAAUGUUGGCUAUCAUCACUUUCACUGAAAAGCACGACUGGAAUCAGACGACACCAGUUCCAUUCCCAGCGCUGCUGUUACUGCCUGGGUGCACAGCAAGCCCCCUGCACCGGGCCUCAGUUUCUAUCGCUGAAAAGUGGCUUUUUUUCCCACUUUUUUUUUUUUUUUAAGAAACUGCUUAUUUUCCGUCAGCUUUAUUGCCAUUUUGUGCGUGUCUGUGAAAGAACAGCGUAAGGCCCCCGGGUGAGGGUUCGCAGGCACGCGGGCCAGUCCCGGGAGCGCGCGGUGCGCGAGGCCUCCAGGGCAGCAGCGCCCUCAGCUCCGCCUGCCGCCCCACGGGAAGUGUCCGUGCUUUCGGGAGCCGCGGCAGCCCACUCACCCUGAAAUUCCUUCUCCGUCGUGGCCCGCGGCAGCAGCCUGCUCUUCCUGUUCCAUCCCUUCAGGAUCUCUGCAGCAGAGACCCGCGCGGCCUCCUCCCCGAGUGGGCCUCGGGAGGGGCUGCACAUGCGCAGAGGCUCUGGGCCAGCGCCCCCCUGCGGCCUGGGCUGGAAAUGUCCACGUGGCCCCGAGGAGCAUCCGUGUGACACAGGUGACCGCACCUGUGCGGGGCCGCUGCUGGUCAGCAGCGGGACUAGUGACGGCGGGAGUCGCGGCCCUCGGAGGACUGGCUGGGCUGGCUUGGCGAAGGUCCAAGGAUGGGGCGGCCGGCAACAGAGGUGGCUCUGGUGGCGGCAGCAACUUCCAGCACAUCUUGCCGGCCAGGAUUCCUGGAGGAUACGACACUGACCUUGGCUGGGUUUUCAAGGGCUUGAGCUAUCAGCACAAGCGUCUUCGAUGUGUGAUGCAGGCGCCAUCACCGCCAUCACCGUUGCUUCUGAGGAUGCGCUGUCCCAUUCGGAAGUCAAGGUGGGCGCCGUAUCAAUGGGUUCCUGCUGCAAGAUGUGAGGACGUCUUCCUUGGUAGGACAUCAAGGACUCUGCACAAGGUGAAGGUAUGCCUUAAAGUUUUGAUGGGACCCGAAAACGAUGCCAUAUGGGCCCCUCUCUGGGGAGUAUGGAAAGGCCCUUUCUCACUUUGAACAUCGCAUUUUUUUUCCCAUCUCACAUGCCAACAUCCACACCUUCUGCUCCACACCGGGGAAACCCAUUGUGGGGUUUAUAGAGAGCCUAACCCUCAAAACUAUAGCUAGAAGAUAAAAAGUAAGGGCUUUGGGCCAUUGGGAGAUGCUGAAGACAUUUACAAGACAAAAAUAAUCCGGUGUGACACUAUGUCAAAGUCUCAUCUGGAAAAUGAUAGCACAUUUCAACUACUAUCGAGCAUUAAUUUCUUAGAAAGUUUAACAAGUGGAUAGUAAAGCCCCAAACAAAUAAUGCACAGAGAAACUAGGUUUUAAAGACACAUUCAAAGGGAAUGGAGGAUUCUGUCUGGGAAGGCUGAGGUGGGAUGGGAUAGAAACGAUACAGUGGUACUUCUCAAACUGUAAUGUGACUGAAUCACCUAGAGAUCUCAUUAUAAUGCAGGUUCGCAUUCAGCAGGUCGGGGGUGGGACCUGAGAUUCUGCAUUUCUAAUGAGCUCUGGUCCACAGACCACACUCUCAGUCAUACCAUGGAAACCAGCAGUCCAGGUAUCCAGGACUUCUAUACCCAUGGAUGUGAUGCAAAAAAAGAAGAUUUUUCAACUCAAAUUUUUUUCUUGGAGUCAACGAAGUCAUUGCAGGCAUCUGACUUCCGAAAUAUCAUCCAGAAGAAUGAGCUUCAGAAAUGCCAAUCUCUGACCUAUCAGUGCACUGAACUAUCAGGGGCAACAUUUUUAAAUAACAUCAAAAACACAUGACAGGCCGGGGAUCCCCAGGUGGCUCAGCGGUUUGGCACCUGCCUUUGGCCCAGGGCAUGAUUCUGGAGUCCUGGGAUCGAGUUCCGCAUCGCACUCCCUGCAUGGAGCCUGCUUCUCCUCUGUCUGUGUCUGCGCCUCUCUCUCUAUGUCUCUCACGAAUAAA
rnacentral:lncRNA from 1 species